GGCCCACACGCUGCGGGGCCGGCCUCGGCCGCUGCCCCUCUCGGCCCUGUCGGCCUUCAGCUACGUCCCGCCGCGGCGCCGGGACCCGGAGGAGCACAGCUACUACCGCCGGCGGGGCCAGGCAAAGGGAAAGUUAGGACAAAGAGACAGACACACACGGAGGGGAGGAGACCUGGAGACAGCCAGAGGAAAGCGCGGAGCAGCCAAGGGGGCCCGCAGCCGCCCACCCUGCUGGCCUGCGUGCACACCCCUAGCUGCUGGGACUGCGUGACCACACACUUGUGCCACCCGCGUCUGUGCCGCCAGCCCCGACGCCAGAAGACUGCAUGCACACAGCCCAGCCUGCUCCCGGGCUCCUGUACCUGACAGCUCCGCUCCUGCCUCCCAGCAGCUUGCCAGGUCGGGUCGGCAGAUGGGGGCCAGAGGGACACUGGCUGUCAGAUCCGCCUUCACAGUUCUGCUCGCUGACCCUCCUAGACUGAGGGGGGUUUAAAGCUUCGGCUCCCCAUUUCCUCGCUACCCUGGACCCCGUUUUCUCUCCUGUGGACAAUAUAUUUUACAUGAACUCUUCUCUGCAAAUGAUUCGCUUAUGAAACAGGGAUCGUUUCGCUCUAUGACUGCAUCUUUAAGAGACGCCUAGAUUAUAAUCAGAAAUUGCACCGAGACGACAGAGAACACGCAAAAGGCCUGGGACUUCAUGUUGCUGAGGAGGUAGUGAUACCAGGUAUGCAGAAAAAGAAAGUCAUUUAAGGAGACAGAGAAGUGGCCCCAGCAGGGAGGGGUGCACGGGAGGCUGUGAUUUCGUGACAUCUGGAGACUCCAGCAGUGUAGCAGCCCCAGCAGGAGCAGGACAGAGAAGUGAGCAGGAAG